rnacentral:tRNA from 1 species
UCCCUGGAGGACUAGAGGUUAGGCCUCGGCGCUCUCGACGCUGUGGCCCGGGUUCGAUUCCCGGCCAGAGAA